rnacentral:rRNA from 1 species
GACGAACGCUGGCGGCGUGCUUAACACAUGCAAGUCGAACGAAGAGCGAUGGAAGCUUGCUUCUAUCAAUCUUAGUGGCGAACGGGUGAGUAACGCGUAAUCAACCUGCCCUUCAGAGGGGGACAACAGUUGGAAACGACUGCUAAUACCGCAUACGAUCUGACCUCGGCAUCGAGGAUAGAUGAAAGGUGGCCUCUAUUUAUAAGCUAUCACUGAAGGAGGGGAUUGCGUCUGAUUAGCUAGUUGGAGGGGUAACGGCCCACCAAGGCGAAGAUCAGUAGCCGGUCUGAGAGGAUGAACGGCCACAUUGGGACUGAGACACGGCCCAGACUCCUACGGGAGGCAGCAGUGGGGAAUCUUCCGCAAUGGACGAAAGUCUGACGGAGCAACGCCGCGUGAGUGAUGACGGCCUUCGGGUUGUAAAGCUCUGUUAAUCGGGACGAAAGGCCUUCUUGCGAAUAGUUAGAAGGAUUGACGGUACCGGAAUAGAAAGCC